rnacentral:rRNA from 1 species
AACGAACGCUGGCGGCAUGCCUAACACAUGCAAGUCGAACGAGACCUUCGGGCCUAGUGGCGCACGGGUGCGUAACGCGUGGGAACCUGCCCUUAGGUUCGGUAUCACUCCCCGAAAGGGGUGCUAAUACCGGAUAAUGUCUUCGGACCAAAGAUUUAUCGCCUGUGGAUGGGCCCGCGUUGGAUUCGCUAGUUGGUAGGGUAAAAGCCUACCAAGGCGACGAUCCAUAGCUGGUCUGAGAGGAUGAUCAGCCACACUGGGACUGGGACACGGCCCAGACGCCUAGGGGAGGCAGCAGUGGGGAAUAUAGGACAAGGGGCGAAAGCCAGAUCCAGCAAUGCCGGGUGAGUGAUGAAGGCCUUAGGGUUGUAAAGCUCUUUUACCCGGGAUGAUAAGGAGAGUACCGGGAGAAUAAGCUCCGGCUAACUCGGU